UACGUAGGGUGCGAGCGUUGCCCGGAUUUAUUGGGCGUAAAGGGCGCGUAGGCGGCCACGCACGUCCGUUGUGAAAUCGCCCGGCUCAACUGGGCGGGGUCAGCGGAUACGGUGUGGCUCGAGCAAGCUAGGGGGCAAUGGAAUUCCCGGUGUAGUGGUGGAAUGCGUAGAUAUCGGGAGGAACACCGGUGGCGAAGGCGGAUCUCUGGGCCGUACCUGACGCUGAGGCGCGAAAGCGUGGGGAGCGAACAGG
rnacentral:rRNA from 1 species